rnacentral:rRNA from 1 species
CGGCGGGURAGUAACGCGUAGKGAUCUAUCCYUGUGUGGGGGAAMCUCCGGGAAACUGGUGCUAAUACCGCAUGAUACCUGAGGGUCAAAGGCGCAAGUGYUWWSYGAGCAACCUGCGUUCGAUUAGCUAGUUGGUGGGGUAAAGGCUACCAAGGGAUGAUCGAUAGCUGGUUUGAGAGGAURAUCAGCCACACUGGGACUGAGACACGGCCCAGACUCCUACGGGRGGCAGCAGUGGGGAAUAUUGGAC